UUAAAUUAAAGGGUGAAAAUGAAAUAAAGUGUAAAAAGCUAUAAGCUAUAAGCUCAAAUGCUACUUAAAAUAGCAUCUGAAAAAAACUAUAAGCUAGUAAAAAAAACUUGUUACCAAACAACUCUAAUUUUUUGAAACAAGCUUAUAAGCUCAUAUAAUAAGCUAUAAGCUAACUUGUUUAUGUUACCAAUCACACCCUUAAUGCAAGACACAGCAGUAUGAUGCAUCAACCAAUAUUUGGUCUUUCCUUUUCCCUCUUUAUGACCAUUUACCCUUUUGUAACUCUUGUAAGCUAGUGAAGGGCCACAAAAUUUUCAUCACUUGUGGGUAUACAAAGAGUCAUGCUCUCAUGUAAAAGACAUUCAUCAUCUCUUCCAAACAUUCCAUAUUAUACUAAAUAAAGUUUUCUCAUUUUAUUUUCUUUGUUCUUAGUUAUUUGUUCUUCGUUUUAGUUUAUGCUUGUGGUUAUCGACCAUGAUCAAGAUGAGUAGUCCACUUUACUUUAGAGUUGUAAGGAGUUUUUUUGGUGGAGGUUAUGUGAUUUAUUUCCUUACUUUAUUCUAUGGUGUGUCUUGUAUGUUUAAUCUAAUUUUAUGUUUUUGAUUUUUUUAUGAACUAGUUAAAAGACCCUUUUUAUUCGAUAUUAAGUUUCUUAUUAUAUUAAGGUAAAAAUUUAUUUAGAAUAAAAUAUUUAAAAAUUUAUUAUAUAAUAUUGUUAAAAUAUAAGUGAAACUUGUGUUGUGUUAUUGCUUGUAAAAUUUAUUAAAUGAAUAAAUUAUCAAUGACAAAUAAUGCUCUCGUGUAUAUAUUUUAAUAAAAAAUUUAAAAUUUGAUUAGGAUAAUUUAGUAAAUUUGAUAGUAAUUAAUUUUAUUAUAUAUUUUUUAUAAUAACUUUAGUAUUAUAUUGCUCAAAAAAACUUUAUUAUUANNNNNNNNNNNNNNNNNNNNNNNUAGUACUAGUAACUUUGGUGGUAAUAUUGUUUGUUUAUUUUUUAUGAGAAAUAUUGUUUCUUUUUUUUUAUUUUUUUUGCAAAAAUAUUGUUUAUGUUUCAAUUUUUCUAUAUUCCUAUUUUUAUGCAUAUUCAUCUUAUUUUUUCUAUGGUUUUUUUUAUUCCUAUUUUUAAGCAUAAAUAUAUUUUUCUGUUUUGUUCUUAUCUUAACCUGUUUUAUUCCUAUUUUUAAGCAUAUGAUAUUUUUAUUGUAUUUAUCUUAUAUUUUUUCUAUAUUUUUUGUUUGUAUUUAUCUUAUAUUCUUUUUAUAUAUAUUAUUAAUAUUUUUGUAGUGAAAUUACAAUGAAGGAUAUAAAACUUGCAACGUGAUUAAAAGUAAUAAAGAUAAAUUAGUAAUUUUG
rnacentral:lncRNA from 1 species